CAGUCGCCGCGGUAAUACAGAGGGUGCGAGCGUUAAUCGGAUUUACUGGGCGUAAAGCGUGCGUAGGCGGCUUCCUAAGUCGGAUGUGAAAUCCCUGAGCUUAACUUAGGAAUUGCAUUCGAUACUGGGAAGCUAGAGUAUGGGAGAGGAUGGUAGAAUUCCAGGUGUAGCGGUGAAAUGCGUAGAGAUCUGGAGGAAUACCGAUGGCGAAGGCAGCCAUCUGGCCUAAUACUGACGCUGAGGUACGAAAGCAUGGGGAGCAAACAGGAUUAGAUACCCCAGUAGUCCCUGUCUCUUAUAA
rnacentral:rRNA from 1 species